rnacentral:rRNA from 1 species
CCUACGGGAUGCAGCAGUGGGGAAUAUUGGACAAUGGGCGAAAGCCUGAUCCAGCCAUGCCGCGUGUGUGAAGAAGGCCUUCGGGUUGUAAAGCACUUUCAGUGGGGAAGAAAGCCUUGGGGCUAAUACCCUCGAGGAAGGACAUCACCCACAGAAGAAGCACCGGCUAACUCCGUGCCAGCAGCCGCGGUAAUACGGAGGGUGCGAGCGUUAAUCGGAAUUACUGGGCGUAAAGCGCGCGUAGGCGGUCUGAUAAGCCGGUUGUGAAAGCCCCGGGCUCAACCUGGGAACGGCAUCCGGAACUGUCAGGCUAGAGUGCAGGAGAGGAAGGUAGAAUUCCCGGUGUAGCGGUGAAAUGCGUAGAGAUCGGGAGGAAUACCAGUGGCGAAGGCGGCCUUCUGGACUGACACUGACGCUGAGGUGCGAAAGCGUGGGUAGCAAACAGGAUUAGAUACCCGUGUAGU